rnacentral:lncRNA from 1 species
CCGGAAACCUUGUGUCGUACCACUACUUUAUAGACAUUGCAAUCCAGAAUGCACAACACAGUACCGUAAGCCCAUUGGCUAAUGACUGUCACGCUUAGACAGAAUGUGACUUCCUGUGCACAGAUAAAGAAAUGUUCUGUUAUGAUCUAAACAUAACAGGCGUACAUUCAUACAAUUCCACAACACUAUUACUGUAUGUUAUUGGUUUUCAGGUCUAUCUUGGACAAAUUAAUAAGUCAUCUGUUGAGACACACAACACAUGAUGAUUAACAAUUAGGCCUACUGUACAACACAUACUUUAGGUACCCAGCCAUACUGUAAAAUUUACAGUUUAAACAGCCAUAUUGUUCAACACAUACUUUAUACCGCCAUACUGUACAAUACAUCCUGUACAUUUUUGUCCUGUUAUAUCUAUUUUCUCUCUAGUUUGGUCAAAGGCAAGCUCUAUCUGUUUGGAGGAGUGUCCAAUCCACAGGCUGGAGAAUGUCUUCCUGGAGUCUAUUGUUUUGACAUAGUGAAUCUGGAAUGGGAGCGGCUCACCAUAGGGGGUGUGUCUCUCAGAACUGUCAGACACUGCUCCGUAUCCAUGGGAGACAAUAUCUAUGUCUAUGGAGGGCUUCUAGACGGGGUCCCGACUGAUGACCUCAUGAUGUUCAACACAGGUCAGCAUGAGCUGUUAUGGAGUGUCUCUGAACUGGACCCCUGUCAAGACCACUGGGACUCUACCAUCUGCAAGAUACAACCACACGUUCGCCGCUGUCGGUGAGCUAGUGUUCAUGUUUGGGGGGUGCACGGAGGAUGGCUGCUACCACAAUGACGUCCACAUUCUCAACACAGAUACCCUUGUGUGGCAGAGGUACGAUGUGAAGGGGGAGUCACCACUGGCCUGCGCCGGCCAGACCCUCACGGCUCACCAUGACAAGGAUAUUUACUUGUUUGGCGGCAAAUGCAUCAGUCAGGAUGGAACAGUAACUUCAACAAAUGAGAUUAACAAAUUAAGCAUUGGUAAGUCAAUUAGCAUUAUCUCAGGUCUCACAACAUUAAAUUGGGCAUUGGCGUUCUGAACGUUUAUCGCCCCCGUGAGCUAGAAGUUGUGGCACAAACUUCUAUUCAGUAGUAGUACUUUUAGUUGGUUUGAAUUGAGAACACAUGUUAACCUAAGGUUUAUCUCAGAACUAAUAGACUAAUAGACUCUUCCCCUUUAUCGUUUUACUGUGGCCCUGUCCUCCAGCUAAAAUGAAGUGGAAGGUGCCUCUCUAUGUGGGGAUUCCUCCCACCCCACGUCAUGACCACACUGCCUUCAUCCUCCAUAGCCAUGUGUGUGUAUAUGUUUGUAUGUGUGUUUUUCUGCUUGUGUGUGUGUGUGAUCCAGAUCUAACAAUACAUACUGGGACCAGAAGUUCCCACAAAGAUUGGAAAACCUGAUAAUUAGGUCCUGACUAGGAAGAAUUUACUGUGUUCAACACAGAUAGAAAAACAAAAUAUGUGUGUGUUUGGUUCUGCCAUUGUGGGUGCUGGCACAUCUGUCUGUUUGUCUCUCUUUCUGUCUUAAUGAUUGCGUGUUAAUAUCAUGCAGAUAUAUAUAUUUGGUGGCAAAAAUGAAGAACAAGAAUUCAAUGACCUGAAGGUGAUGAAAUUGAUAAACCCAUCAGAAAGACAGCCAGGUAACACAGCCUAUGUCAAUUCCAAAUAUUUCCAAUACUUGGGUACUUCUUUGCCAUUCCUUUACACAUUAACUUAUUUCUUCGACCAUUUUAAAGUGUUAUAACCUCUCAGGACUAAUUGUUAAAUAUAUGAUUUAACAAAUAUUUGACUUAAACAGUGGUACAUUCCCUUUUGAUCAUUUUACUAGUGAUGAAGGAAAUUCUGUCUGAGUUUGGGCUUCAGGGAGUCAGUCAUGGGUGAGUGUUUUAGUAUUUCCGCUUGCUGUAGCUAUCCUAUUCAAACGUAUUAACAUAGUGCUCUCUUUCUCCAACGUUUGUUUCAGUUCGUGCUGUGUUUCAUUUUCUCCCGGCAGGCACUUACAGUUAUUCAAAUUAAGUUUCAGUUUUCACAAAGCUAUUUCACUCUUGUCUGCUCAGUUUCACACCAACUAAAGUCCCCAACGUAAAGUAUGAGCUCAGUAAGUCUCCGUCUUCGUUUUCUAUGAGGACGGGUGCAGCUGCCUCUGCACAGGUGGGUUAUAUUCAGAAAAUGUGCACAAGGCCUUAAUAUAGGCAGAGAUUGGCAUUUGCCACCAUAGACGUUAGUGUUUUUUCUAAACCCAUAGUCUGUAUUGUCACUGACCUGCUGUUGAAUCACUAGGUCACAGCCCACAGAGACUUCAACGCUGUCCGAUGCCAUGCCUUGGAAAUGAUCCAUAAAGCGUUCUCAAUGCUUGACCAAGAGUUCCAAAAGCUUGACGGGUAUAAUGGUUCAGUCUUGGUUCAAAGUAUGGCUUAUUCGUUCAUUAAUUAAUUUAUUAAUUCAUGAAUUCUUUCCCGUAGAGAAAGGUCAGAGCUUGCUCAAGCUACCGCAGCUCUUAAGUAUGAGAGAGAAGCUCUCCAAGCCCAACACCUGCAACAAGAGGCAGUAAUGUAUCAGUCUUAGUUUAAUUAUCAUUCAUACAUAUUUCCUUCCAUUCAUUCUCUCAAUAUGGAUCUUUACGAAAGUUUGCCUUGUAGCCUGUUAAUCAACACAUUUUGCAAAAAUAAUUUUACAGGAAGUAUUCUGAAACCUUUGUACGUUGUGGGCUAUUUCAGGAACUACAGGAAAUGUUGGAGAGACACAGAGCCCAGAAUGAGAACUGGCUACGUGCACGGGCAGAGGAGAAUGACAAGGAGAGGAAGGAGCUGUGUAAACUCAGGGUUCGUCGCAGUAACACACAGACACACACACACCCCCUUCACAGCGCUAUAAACAUGAAUAGGAAUUGAGAGUUUCUAGGCCAUUCUAACUCAAGACAGAAUACAUGCAAAUAGGUAUUCAAUUCAGUUUAAUUGAUAGUGGAGGAUCACGUCAUUAUUGGCUUGAACAGUGUGUGACAUAAUAUUGGCUGCAUAAAAUUCUACUUCUGUUUAGAAAAGGUGGCAGUCCAAAAAUGAAUACACCAAUGUGCUUUUGAACUGAAGUGUAAUGUCAAAAGCCAUCCAAACAAAUUAUUUUCCUCUUAUGAUUUUCAAGGAGGAUAUUGUGCAGGAGCAAGAAAGACUAAAAGAGGAGCAGGGAAACAUCCAGAAACGAAGCGAGCACCUCCUAUCCAUCAUGAAACAGUUCAAAGGCAUGUAAAUACAUGUCUCCAUAGCAACCAACUGGAGAAAACAGAUCUCCCGUGGAUAAAAUGGAAGAAUAGAUUUGACAUUCAUUUGUGUUUUCUGCUGGUGUGUUUGAAUAAUUAGCAUUGUGAGCAUAGGAGAAAUUUGCAUUUGUUGUCUUUUGCCAAAGAGUCAUCUUAUCUUAGAGAGGCGGUGAGGUCAGAGGAAUCAUGUUGACCUUGUCAUAAAAGGGAUAAUAUUUUAACCUGACUGGUACAAAAUCCUAGAGCAUACUAAGUGGGACUAUUAUGAAGGCCUAUGGAAAAUGUUGUAAAGGAAAGUAACAAACAAUCAAUCUGUUUUGUGUUGAAUAAUAAAGCAAUAGUGCAGCGCUCUUUGUAGUUUUGCACAUAUCUGCAGAGAUACACAUUCUGUUCCCUAAUCUUUUAAAUAAUCACACACACUUUUACAGUUUUACACUUUUCAGAUAAUGCAAUCAAGAGAUUUGAUUGUAUUGUAUUUUAUUCUAGCUAAAUCUGGGUAAACCAGAUAGAUUAUUAGGAAAUGGAUGUGUAUGGGAAUAGAUUACUCAAAUAAAAUGUGAAAAU